rnacentral:rRNA from 1 species
AUACGUAUGUCCCGAGCGUUAUCCGGAUUUAUUGGGCGUAAAGCGAGCGCAGACGGUUGGUUAAGUCUGAUGUGAAAGCCCGGAGCUCAACUCCGGAAAGGCAUUGGAAACUGGUUAACUUGAGUGCAGUAGAGGUAAGUGGAACUCCAUGUGUAGCGGUGGAAUGCGUAGAUAUAUGGAAGAACACCAGCGGCGAAGGCGGCUUACUGGACUGUAACUGACGUUGAGGCUCGAAAGUGUGGGUAGCAAACAGGAUUAGAUACCCUGGUAGUCCACACCGUAAACGAUGAACACUAGGUGUUAGGAGGUUUCCGCCUCUCAGUGCCGAAGCUAACGCAUUAAGUGUUCCGCCUGGGGAGUACGACCGCAAGGUUGAA